rnacentral:lncRNA from 1 species
GAAUGGGUCCCUACAGUGGGGAAACUGAAUAUCGGUGUCUGAAAACUAUACCUGGGAUUGUGAUCCUUUAAGGGAUGUUUUACCAGUGGCAGUAAUCCAACGUAUCAAGGCGAUGCUAGUUCCAAGGAUGGAUGGUGGGAAUGAUGUUCUGUUUUGGAAAAAAAUCUCAUGGUGGGGGAUUUCAAUCUAAAGGUACUUAUUUAUCUUUAUUGUCUG